rnacentral:rRNA from 1 species
AACCUGGUUGAUCCUGCCAGUAGUCAUAUGCUUGUCUCAAAGACUAAGCCAUGCAUGUCUAAGUAUAAGUAUUAUACAGCGAAACUGCGAAUGGCUCAUUAAAACAGCUAUAAUUUAUUUGAUAAUCGAAUUUACAUGGAUAACCGUGGUAAUUCUAGAGCUAAUACAUGCUGGUAGGCCCGACUUUUUGGAAGGGCGGUAUUUAUUAGAUAACAAACCAAUAUCCCUCUGGUCUAUUGUGGUGAAUCAUAAUAACUGAUCGAAUCGCAAGGUUUUUAACCGCGAUAAGUCAUUCAAGUUUCUGCCCCAUCAGCUUUCGAUGGUAGUGUAUUGGACUACCAUGGCUUUUACGGGUAACGGAGGAUUAGGGUUCGAUUCCGGA